UACGAAGGGGGCUAGCGUUGCUCGGAAUUACUGGGCGUAAAGCGCACGUAGGCGGCUCUUUAAGUCGGGGGUGAAAUCCUGGAGCUCAACUCCAGAACUGCCUUCAAUACUGAAGAGCUCGAGUCCGGGAGAGGUGAGUGGAACUGCGAGUGUAGAGGUGAAAUUCGUAGAUAUUCGCAAGAACACCAGUGGCGAAGGCGGCUCACUGGCCCGGUACUGACGCUGAGGUGCGAAAGCGUGGGGAGCAAACAGG
rnacentral:rRNA from 1 species